ensembl:lncRNA
GGGAAAAGAAGAUUAAGGAAAACUCUUUUUGUUUUUUUCCAGAUCAUGAUGUUUGAGUCUUGGACAAGAAUUUGGCUCAGGUGUCCCCAAAUCUCCUGGACUUUGUAGGUCAAUCUCUUCAUAAAGUAAUAUCUUCAGGCAUAAGGGUGGCAACAUACAAAGAAAGGGGCAAUCGCAGUCAGAAUGAUGGAGAGCCAUCUCAAGCAUUUACGAGAUGCCAUCCUGUGAAAUUACACACUGAACACUCUUCAAAAAUCUUUUGUCGGGGUAACAGACGGAUCGUUUGCAGACGAGAACUAAGACCCUGUCCCUUCCCAAAAAUGUUUUUGAUGCCAGGGCCAAAUUUCAUUUACGGUUACCUCAAAUCUCAACUUAAGUCAUUAUAUCUAUUUCAUCCAAGCCAAAAGAGAUGGUCUGGAUUAGUAUAGGGCUUGUUCAGAGGUAUAGUUACUUUUGGACACGUAUGCAAACAGAGAAAGGAAAGCUGAAUGAUGAAACGCGAUAUCACAAAGCAGUGAUAUGAAGCAAAAUUAUUUGGUUCUGUGGUCUUGUUUGCUCCUAUGCUGGAAACACUCGUUUGCUGUAUAGAUGCCAGACUGAGUCACAGUUCAUGGUCUUGACUGCCCAUGUGAAUAUCUAUGGACAUUUCUUGAGGUCAGGGAGGGCAUCAGCGUUCACAGAUUGCUGCUCACGGAAAGCAUUUACCAAAUAUGUAACUAGUAUCAUCUACCGUUAAUGCAGGUAUCUGUGAAAGGCAUCACCAUAUUCAAACUGAUGAAAAAAGAGCAGCAGGGCUGCUUGAAGCAGUCUGGUGUACACGCAAAGCAGCUGUGCAUUGCUUAGACGUGCAAGUUGAGGCUAAAGAUUCUUGAAUGGACUUACUACAUUGAUUUUAAAAAAAGUGAUUUUCUGCCARAGAAAGUUCUUUUGAAGUUCUACAGUUGUUGACACCGCAGCACCCGUCUCUCUUGCUGCUCCAUCACUACACUCUUCAUUUUAAGGCACUGCUGCAAAACCUGCUUCUGCUGAGGUAACCCAUCUCCAGCUGAAAUACCACACAAAGCGGCCGCGGUACUCACUUUGCAGGCAUAAGUACCUAUUUUUCAUAUCAUCAGGUGUAUCAGGAAAUGUAUCCACUCUUUGUAAGUGUGUGUUAAACCUAUACUUAAACGGGGCUUUGAAAUGGCAGAAAAUUGCAUGUUGGAUUUAUCAUUAAAUGGUGAGGGGGGUGGGAAGAGAAAGAAAAAACRUUGUCUAGUGUAUGAAAAAAAAGAACAAGGAAACUUUCUAUUUCCCUGUCACUCAUUUUUCAAACGCUGGAGGUUGCAAAUGAAGAUGGAAUGAGAUAUCCUACAGGCCCUGUGAUAGCCGUGAGCGAGCGUGCUCAACCAGAAAUUUAUCCCAAAAUUUGAAUGAGGAAGAAUGUGCUCACCCACAUCCAAAUUUUUGCCUUUAAUUUCUACACUAAAGUUCUUACAUGACGUUCUUUACUUCUUGUUCUAAACUAACAUGAAAUGUUGCUCUACUGAUACGACUAUAGCCUGUUCCUAUCAAAAUAAAAUCUCCACUGACUUUGGUGUGAUUAUG